rnacentral:misc_RNA from 1 species
UUUCCGUAGGUGAACCUGCGGAAGGAUCAUUACUGAGUGAGGGCCCCUCGGGGUCCAACCUCCCACCCGUGUUUAACGAACCUUGUUGCUUCGGCGGGCCCGCCUCACGGCCGCCGGGGGGCAUCUGCCCCCGGGCCCGCGCCCGUCGAAGCCACCUGUGAACGCUGUCUGAAGUAUGCAGUCUGAGACAAUUAUUAAAUUAAUUAAAACUUUCAACAACGGAUCUCUUGGUUCCG